AACGGGAACGGACGCUUCCACUU
rnacentral:miRNA from 1 species